rnacentral:rRNA from 1 species
GAUGAACGCUGGCGGCGUGCUUAACACAUGCAAGUCGAACGGAAAGGCCCUGCUUUUGUGGGGUGCUCGAGUGGCGAACGGGUGAGUAACACGUGAGUAACCUGCCCUUGACUUUGGGAUAACUUCAGGAAACUGGGGCUAAUACCGGAUAGGAGCUCCUGCUGCAUGGUGGGGGUUGGAAAGUUUCGGCGGUUGGGGAUGGACUCGCGGCUUAUCAGCUUGUUGGUGGGGUAGUGGCUUACCAAGGCUUUGACGGGUAGCCGGCCUGAGAGGGUGACCGGCCACAUUGGGACUGAGAUACGGCCCAGACUCCUACGGGAGGCAGCAGUGGGGAAUAUUGCACAAUGGGCGGAAGCCUGAUGCAGCAACGCCGCGUGUGGGAUGACGGCCUUCGGGUUGUAAACCGCUUUCGCCUGUGACGAAGCGUGAGUGACGGUAAUGGGUAAAGAAGCACCGGCUAACUACGUG